UGAGGAAUAUUGGACAAUGGAUGGAAAUCUGAUCCAGCCAUGCCGCGUGCAGGAAGACGGCCCUAUGGGUUGUAAACUGCUUUUGUAUGGGAGCAAUAAGGACUACGUGUAGUUUGAUGAGAGUACCAUACGAAUAAGCAUCGGCUAACUCCGUGCCAGCAGCCGCGGUAAUCCGGAGGAUGCGAGCGUUAUCCGGAUUUAUUGGGUUUAAAGGGUGCGUAGGCGGCGAUAUAAGUCAGUGGUGAAAUAUUUCGGCUUAACCGAGAGACUGCCAUUGAUACUGUGUGGCUAGAAUAUGGUUGCUGUGAGUGGAAUGUGUGGUGUAGCGGUGAAAUGCUUAGAUAUCACACAGAAUAUCGAUUGCGAAAGCAGCUCACAAAGCCAUUAUUGACGCUGAGGCACGAAAGUGUGAGGAUCAAACA
rnacentral:rRNA from 1 species